ACGGGUGAGUAACGCGUAGAUAACCUGCCUCUAAGACGGGGACAACACCGCGAAAGUGGUGCUAAUACCGGAUAAGUUAUCCAGAGCGCAUGCUUUGGAUAGGAAAGGUGGCCUCUGAAUAUGCUACCGCUUAGAGAUGGGUCUGCGUCUGAUUAGCUAGUUGGUGAGGUAAAGGCUCACCAAGGCGACGAUCAGUAGCCGGUCUGAGAGGAUGAACGGCCACACUGGGACUGAGACACGGCCCAGACUCCUACGGGAGGCAGCAGUGGGGAAUCUUCCGCAAUGGGCGAAAGCCUGACGGAGCAACGCCGCGUGAGUGAAGAAGGUUUUCGGAUUGUAAAGCUCUGUCUUUUGGGACGAACGUGCUGAUUGUGAAUAAUGAUUGGCAAUGACGGUACCGAAGGAGGAAGCCACGGCUAACUACGUGCCAGCAGCCGCGGUAAUACGUAGGUGGCAAGCGUUGUCCGGAAUGAUUGGGCGUAAAGCGCGCGCAGGCGGGAUAUUAAGUCGGUUGUCUAAAUGCGGGGCUCAACCCCGUACCGGCAAACGAAACUGGUAUUCUUGAGUGCAGGAGAGGAAAGUGGA
rnacentral:rRNA from 1 species